ensembl:lncRNA
GACAGAUUUGUACCUUUUCAGCUUGGGGAUUUGAACUUGCAACCUUCCAGUUACUAGUCCAACGCUCUAACCACUAGGCUACCCUGCCGCCCCAUAACAACAGAAUGGAGCAGCUACCGACGAGAGAAAAUACAGUCGAUUUGCUACAGGAGUUACAGCGUCAGCUCUGGAAAUAUAGCGGGAGAGGGGAAAGGCAGUUUGUCAGUUCAUUUACAGCAGUGCGUCCCCUGAACGAUAACGAAGGGGUAGGUGAGAAGUCUGACCACAGAGACGGGGGUGAGAAGGUGAUGAAGCGUACUUCAUUAGCCUUAACCGAAAAAACAACAACUGGCUAUAGGAAAGUUUGAGGUGUAGCUGAGGCAAUACAAUAUCACUGACACAGCCCGCUACCAAAACCUGCUGGCUUUCCUUCACCGCAGCCAACGUGAGUAAAACAUUUACACGUGUUAACCCUGCAAGGCUGCCGGCCCAGAUGGCAUCACUAGCCGUGUCCUUAUAGCAUGCCUAUCCCAGUCUGCUUGUUCCCACAUGCUCCAAGAGGGCCACUGUUGUUCCUGUUCCCUAGAAAGCUAAGGUAACUGAGCUGAACGACUAUUGCCCCAUAGCACUCACUUCCGUCAUCAUGAAGUGCCUUGAGAGACUAGUCAAAGAUCAUAUCACCUCCACCCUACCUGACACCAUAGACCCACUCCAAUUUGCUUAACGCCCCAAUAGGUCCACAGACGACGCAAUCGCAAUCACAUUGCACACUGCCCUAACCCACCUGGACAAGAGGAAUACCUAUGUAAAAAUGCUGUUCGACUACAGCUCAGCAUUUAACACCAUAGUACCCUCCAAAUUCGUCAGUAAGCUCGAGACCCCGGGUCUCGACCCCGCCCUGUGCAAUUGGGUCCUGGACUGUGACGGGCCACCCCCAGGUGGUGAGGGUAGGAAACAACAUCUCCACCCCGCUGAUCCUCAACACUGGGGCCCCACAAGGGUGCGUUCUCAGCCCUCUCCUGUACUUCCUGUUCACCCAUGACUGCGUGGCCAUGCACGCCUCCAACUUAAUCAUUAAGGGUGCAGACGACACUACAGUGGUAGGCUUGAUUACCAACAACGACGAGACGGCCUACAGGGAGGAGGUGAGGGCCCUCAGAGUGUGGUGUCAGGAAAAUAACCUCACACUCAACGUCAAAAAUACAAAGGAGAUGAUCGUGGACUUCAGGAAACAGCAGAGGGAGCACCCCCCUAUCCACAUCAACGGGACAGUAGUGGAGAAGGUGAAAAGUUUUAAGUUCCUCGGCGUACACAUCACGGACAAACUGAAAUAAUCCACCCACACAGACAGCGUGGUGAAGAAGGUGCAGCAGCGCCUCUUCAACCUCAGGAGGCUGAAGAAAUUUGUCUUGUCACCAAAAACACUCACAAACUUUUACAGAUGCACAAUCGAGAGCUGUAUCACCGCCUGGUACGGCAACUGCUCCGCCCACAACCGUAAUCCUCUCCAGAGGGUAGUGAGGUCUGCACAACGCAUCACCAGGGGAAAACUACCUGCCCUCCAGGACACCUACAGCACCCGAUUUCACAGGAAGGCCAAAAAGGACAACAACCACCAGAGCAACUGCCUGUUCACCCCGCUAUCAUCCAGAAGGCGAGGUCAGUACAGGUGCAUCAAUGCUGGGACUGAGAGACUGAAAAACAACUUCUAUCUCAAGGCCAUCAGACUGUUAAACAGCCAUCACUAACAUUGAGUGGCUGCUGCCAACAUAGCCACUUUAAUAAUUUAAAAUAGGAUGUAAUAAAUGUAUCACUAGUCACUUUAAACAAUGCCACUUCAUAUAAUGUUUACAUACCCUACAUUACUCAUCUCAUAUGUAUAUACUGUACUCUAUACCAUCUACUGCAUCUUGCGUAUGCCGUUCGGCCAUAUUCUUAUUCAUUCCUUUCCACUUGUGUGUAUAAGGUAGUUGUUGUGAAAUUGUUACAUUACUUGUUAGAUAUUACUGCACGGUCGGGAACUAGAAGCACAAGCAUUUCGCUACACUCGCAUUAACAUCUGCUAACCAUGUGUAUGUGAACAAUACAAUUAGAUUGGAUUUGAUUUGAGCUGGGCCUGGCUGGAUGCAACUAUAGAGGUGAAAGGAACGCCACACACUUUCCCUAUUUCUCACUUUGUUAAUACAUUGCAUAAAAAGGGGUAUACCAGGUGUACUCUCUGCCUGAAAGAGAUCAAUUAUGGCAAGAAAGGGUAUCAUGCUCUGCUGGCAUGUUGUAGAGUAGAUUUCCACAGACAGAACGUGUACAAUGUAAUGAUGUGCAGUGUAGCCCAAAGAUAUUGCUUUGUUGUGUGAACUUGACAGAAACAUUUGUGUGAGAGUGAGGGGGGGAUUAUUACAUUUUUUUACUCAGUGAACAUUAUUUUUGCACACAUGUAGCCUUUGUGCACUUGAUCAAUGUCUAUAGUGGCCACUAUAAUAGAUCAAAAAUAGAAUGCUUGUUUGUUUCAUUCUAUUUCUACUUUAAGAUGUUUUUUCCCCCAAGUGUAAUAUUUAGAUGUGUGUGGUCACAAGCUUUCUAUUAUAAAGGCUAUCAUGGCUAACUGCAAUAUUAGUGUAUUGUUCUUUCUCAUUUGUAGUAGUGAAGUCUAGGCAACAAAUAACAUUGGAUUGCUUUCUUUACAUUAUUUUAGCUGUGAGUUAGGUUCACAUUAACCACUUUUCAUUUUACACACAGAGACUGGUCAUGUACAGUUCCAUGCGAAAGUAUUCACCCCCCUUUGCAUUUUUCCUAUUUAGUUUCUUUGGGGGGGUUUGUAUCAUUUGAUUUAAACAACAUGCCAACCACUUUGAAGAUGCAAACUAUUUUUUAUUGUGAAACAAAAAAAGACUAUUCACCCCCCAUAAUUCAAUACUUUGUAGAGCCCUCUUUUGCAGCAAUUACAGCUGCAAGUCUCUUGGGGUAUGUUUCUAUAAACUUGGCACAUCAAGCCACUGGGAUUUUUGCCCAUUCUUCAAGGCAAAACUGCUCCAGCUCCUCCAAGUAGGAUGGGUUCUGCUGGUGUACAUCACUGUGGGGAUGGUGUUCUCGGGGUGAUGAGAGGUGUUGGGUUUGUGCCAGACAUAGCGUUUUCCUUGAUGGCCAAAAAGCUAAAUUUUAGUCUCAUCUGACCAGAGUACCUUCUUCCAUAUGUUUGGGGAGUCUCCCACAUGCCUUUUGGCAAACACAAAAUGUCUUUGUUUAUUUCUUUCUUUAAGCAAUGUCUUUUUUUCUGUCCACUCUUCCAUAAAGUCCAGCUCUGUGGAGUGUACGGCUUAAAGUGGUCCAAUGGACAGAUACUCCAAUCUCCGCUGUGGAGCUUUGCAGCUCCUUCAGGGUUAACUUUGGUCUCUUUGUUGCCUCUCUGAUUAAUGCCCUCCUUGCCUGGUCCGUGGGUUUUGGUGGACGGCCCUCUCUUGGCCGGUUUGUUGUGGAGCCAUAUUCUUUCCAUUUUUUAAUAAAGGAUUUAAUGGUGCUCUGUGGGAUGUUCAAAGUAAUAAAAUAAAAACUCAACCCUGAUCUGUUCUUCUACACAUAUUUGUCCCUGACCUGUUUGGAGAGCUCCUUGGUCUUCAUGGUGCCACUUGCUUGGUGGUGCGCCUUGCUUAGUGGUGUUACAGACUCUGGGGCCUUUCAGAAAAGGUGUAUAUAUACUGAGCUCAUGUGACAGAUCAUGUGACACUUAGAUUGCAUACAGGUGGACUAAUUGUGACUUCUGAAGGUAAUUGGUUGCAGCAGAUCUUAUUUAGGGGCUUCAUAGCAAAGGGGUAAAUACAUAUGCACGCAACACUUUUACAUUUUACAUUUUUUGGAAAGAAAAAAAAACUUCACUUCACCAUUUUGGACUAUUUUCUAUGUCCAUUACAUGAAAUCCAAAUAUAAAUCAGUUUAAAUUACAGGUUGUAAUGCAACAAAAUAGGAUAAUGCCAAGGGUGAUGAAUACUUUUACAAGGCACUGUAGAUAAUAUUAUUUGUUGGUUCAUUAGUUAAAACCUGCAUUUCCCCCUGGCAGGGAUUUUUUUGCACGUUUCAGUGCAAAAAAAAGAAGAAGAAAAGUGUCACCUUUUUGGGCCCUCAGAAGUUUGCAUCCCUGAUGUAUAGGGGUAAGGUGACUAGGCAACAGAAUAUUAGAUAAACAGAGUAGCAGCAGCUUACAUGUGAGUGUGUGUGUGUAGAGUCAGUAUAAAUGUAUGUGCAUAUUAUGUGUGAGUGAGCAAAUGAUGGAGUGUUUGUGUGUGUGUGUUGGAGUGACAGUGUGUGUGUAUGGCCCUGUGAGUCGUAUUGUUUGGGGAUAGAAGCUGUUCAAGAGGCUGUUGGUAUCAGACUUGAUGCACUGGUACAUCUUGCCAUAAGGCAACAGAGAAAAUAGACUAUGGCUUGGGUGGUUGGGGACUUUGACGAUUUUCUGGGCCUUCUUUUCACACCUCCUGAUAUAGAGGUCCUGGAUGGCAGGGAGCUCGGCCACAGUGAUGUAAUGGGCUGUCCGCACCACCCUGUGUAGCGCCAUGUGAUCGAGGGCGGUGCUAUUGCCAUACCAACAGUGAUGCAGCCAGUCAAUAUGCUCUGAGUGGUACAGCUGUAUAACCUUUUCAGGAUUUGAGAGCCCAUGUCAAACCUUUUCAACCUCCUGAUGGGAAAGAAGCACUGUCUCGUCUUUUUCAUGACUGUGCGUGGACAAUUUUAAGCCUUUAAGUGAUUUAGACACCGACGAACUUGAAGCUGUCUACCUGCUCCACUACCGCCCGGCCGAUGUGGAUGGGGGGGGGUGCUCGCCCCGUUUCCUAUAGUCCACGAUCAGCUCCUUGGCCUUGCUGACUUUGAGGGAGAGUUUUCUUUCUUUUACCUCUUUUUCUCCCCAUUUUGUGGUAUCCAAUUGGUCGUUACAGUCUUGUCUUAUCACUGCAACUCCCAUACAGACUCGGGAGAGGCGAAGGUCGAGAGCCAUGCGACCCCCGAAACACGACCCAACCAAGCUGCACUGCUUCUUGACACAAUGCCCGCUUAACCCGGAAGCCAUCCACACCAAUGUGUCGGAGGAAGCACCAUACACCUGGCGACCUUGUCAGCGUGCAUGCGACCGGGCCGCCACAGGAGUCGCUAGAGCACGAUGGGACAAGAACAUCCCUGCCGGCCAAACCCUCCCCUAACCCGGAUGACACUGGACCAAUUGUGCACCUUCCCAGUUGUCUCCCGGGCCCCUGCCGGCUGCAACAGAUCCUGGACUCCAACCAGGAUCUCUAGUGGCACAGCUAGCAACUGCGAUGCAGUGCCUUGGACCACUGCGCCACUUGGGAGGCCCGAGGGAGAGGUUGUUGCUCCUGCAUCACACUGCCAGGUCACUUACCUCCUCCCUGUAGGCUGACUCUUCGUCACCGGAGAUCAGGCUUACCACCGUCGUGCUGUCAAAUAAAUAAAUAAUGGUUGUCAUGUUGUCAAAAAAAUUAUAAUUGGAGUCGAGCGUUGCUACCCAGUUGUGGGUGAACAGGGAAUACAUGAGAGGACUAAGCACACACUUCUGUGGGGCCCCUGUGUUAACCUCACUAGGGUACGUGGGACGCUAGUGUCCCACCUGGCCAACAUCCAGUGAAAUUGCAGCGCGCCAAAUUCCAAAACAGAAAUACUCAUUAUAAAAAUUCAUAAAACAUACAAGUGUUAUACAUCGGUUUUAAGAUUAACUUCUUGUUAAUCCAACCAUGGUGUCAGAAAUAGAGAUAGAAUUAAUCACAUACCUUUGAUGAUAUUCAUAUGGUUGCACUCACAAGACUCCCAUUUACUCAAUAAAUGUUUGUUUUGUUCGAUAAAGUCCUUGUUUAUAUCCAAAAACCUCAGUUUUGUUCGCGCGUUUUGUUCAGUAAUCCACAGGCUCAAACGCAGUCACAACAGGCAGACUAAAAAUCCAAAUAGUAUCCGUAAAGUUUGUAGAAACAUGUUUAUAAUCAAUCCUCAGGUUGUUUUUUAGCCUCAAUAAUCGAUAAUAUUUCAACCGGACAAUAACGUCGUCAAUAUAAACGGUAAACAAGAAAGGCGCAAUCUCAGUCGCACGCAUGAAAUAGCACUGGGACACUGCAGUCUCCACUCAUUCAGAGUGGUCUUACUCCCUAAUUUUCAGAAUACAAGCUUGAAACAAUUUCUAAAGACUGUUGACAUAUAGUGGAAGCCAUAGGAAGUGCAAUUGGAGUCCUUUGAGUCAAUGGAUACUGUAAUGGCAUUCAAUAGAAAACUACAAACAUAAAACAAUCCCACUUCCUGGAUGGAUUUUUAUCGCAUGAAACUUUAGAGUGUUUUCUAUCCAAUUCUACCAAUUAUAUGCAUAUCCUAGCUUCCGGGCCUGAGUAGCAGGCAGUUUACUUUGGGCACACUUUUCAUCCGGAAGUAAAAAUAGUGCCCCCUACCCUAGUGAAGUUAAAACUUCUUUGGAAUAGGGGGCAGGGGGGCAGUAUUUUCACGUUAGAUUUAGAUAGAAAACAAUAAAGUUUCUAAAACUGUUAAAAUUAUGUCUGUGAGCAUAACAGAACUGAUAUGGCAGGCGAAACACAGAGGACAACCUCCCCCCAAAAUAAUUCACCUUCCCACAGUUUUCAAUGGCUAGUACUAUAAUUAUAAGCCCAAGUCCUCCCAAAUUGCAGUUCCUAGGGCUUCCACUAGAUGUCAGUCUUUAGAAAGAGUUUCAGGCUGGUUUUUGGAAAAAUGACCCAGAAAUUGUAGUUUUUCUAGGUGGCUCCCAUUUUGGCUGUAGUGUUUCCAAGCGCGUGGAGGAAACGCGUGGAGGUGUUCUUUCUUAUUUAUCUCCGGUAAUGAACAUACUAUUCUCCGUCUUAAAUUUUAUUGUUUGUUAGCGUAUUAGGAUACCUAAGGUUUGAUUAUAAACGUUGUUUGACUUGUUUGGAAAAGUUUAUUGGUAACGUUUGGGAUUCAUUGUGUAUGCAUUUUGGUGGAAGGAAACUGGAUGGAUUAUUGACUGAAGCGCGCCAGCUAAACUGAGUUUUUAUGGAUAUAAAGAAGGACAUCAUCGAACAAAAGGACCAAUUGUGAUGUAACUGGGACCUUUUGGAGUGCCAACAGAAGAAGAUCAUCAAAGGUAAGGCAUUGUUUAUAUCGCUAUUUCUGACUUUCGUGUCGCACCUGCCUGGUUGAAAGGGCGCUGUCCUCAGAUAAUCGCAUGGUUUGCUUUCGCUGUAAAGUAUUUUUGAAAUCUGACACGGCGGCUGGAUUAACAACAAGUUAAGCUUUAUUUUGAUGUAUUACACUUGUAUUUUCAUGAAUGUUAAAUAUUUGUAGUAAUUUAAUUUGAAUUUGGCGCUCUGCAAUUUCAUCGGAUGUUGUCGAGGUGUCCUGCUAGCGGCACGCCUUUCCCAAACAGAUCAGUGGGGGGAAGGGGAUGUUGCCUACCUUCACCACCCGGGGGCGGCUUGUCAGGAAGUCCAGGUUCCAGUUGCAGAGGGAGAUGUUCAAGACCCAGAGUACUAAGCUUGGUGAUGAGGAUAGGGCUGCUGAUUUAGGAUCAGUUUUGCCAUUAAGAUCACAAACAAUAUUACACAGACAGAGCGACCUGUUCCCAGAUCAGCACUCCUACUGUGAGACACUUUAUGAAUACAGGCCCAGAGUUGGAUUCUAUUUGCCUAGAGUUUAGGAAGGAUAUGGCUGCCAUCUACUGCAUAAUACUAUGUACUGGAUAUGGGACUCAAGUGUAUGGUAGUCCCAGCAGUUUUUCCAUCUGUUGUCUCUAGGUACUUGAUAUACUACAUGUACAGAACAGUUAAUCACCAGCCUAGACUAUGGCCAGUGGUAGAAACGGGAAAGGCAACCCUCCAAUGCAAAAUCCUUGAAUUUAAUGUAAAAAUGCACAUUUUACAUGUCAACAUUAUUACAAUCCAGGACCCAGGUUCCACCUGGGAAUGCCGAAUAUGAACCUAACAAGUUCAGAGCAAGUAUUUCACUCGUAUUUGCCCCUAAAAAUAGAUGUGUGAACCGGAAAAAAUAUUUACGAGCACAGUGUGCGGUUAAAGAUUACAACCUACCGUAAUCUAUCCCCCCCCGCUGCUAAUUGUUUAAAAACUACAAGUUCCACAAGCGGCAUGCGCCAACCACAGUAGAGUUUUCUGUGAUGACGCAGUCCAGUCAGAGAGAGGAUGGUGAACAACACUGGAAAAUAGUAUCGGUAUAGCAUCAACAACAGCUGAAGUUCAAGGGCAGGGAAAGAAGGUCAGUUUUACAAGGGACAUGUAAUACCACACUAGUUUUAAAAAAUAGGUUCAAUACUCAAAUGAACUUUCAGAAUCAAGUAAUUGACAGGUGACAGUUUAUUUACUUACUACUUAACAGAAAAAGCAGGAAAUGGAGAAUGCACUCUUGUGUAUUCUACCAUUUUCUUUCAGACAUGUUUGAGGAGCUAUCCUCACCCUGCAAAAGAAUGACCUGACCCUCCCCCAAGCCACAUCAGAGUUGAGGAAGACAGUGACCAGACUGGAAGCACUAAAACUUAGGGCAAAGGCAGGAGGCAUGCUGGAAAAGAUCCAGACCAUGCUUGCUAAGCAGCAGAGUGAUGCGAGGAGAUUCCAGGUGUGUUAGGAUGAGAGCUUGUUAGGAUGUAAGAGAAAUUGAUUCAAAUCGAUGAUUAAGACAGAAUUCUCAGUGUGAGAAUCAAUGUAUUCGUUGCCCAAUAGAACGAUUUGAGGAUAAGGAGGGAAAUGCAGUGGAGAAGUCUUUACAUUACAGAAAAAUGGGAGACAGACAAAUGGCCAGACAUGUUGUUGUGUGUUGGGUGUGUCUCUCUGUGUGUGAAGGGAAUAACACUGAAGGGGAAUCUGAAAGGCUUCACGGACCUCACCAAUCCCCAGCUGAAGCAACACGUGGAGGCGGCCAUCAACAUGGGCGUGGAUGAUCUCAAAGCCAGAUUUGGUGGUCUGCUGAAGGAUGAGGGUGUCCAGACCCCAGUGGAUUCUUUCAGAGUGCUAAAUCCUGACACAUGGCCAGAAGACCAGGCCAGCCUUCUCACCUUUGGCGAUGAUGGUGUGGCAUACCUAAUGAGGCAUUUCAAGGAGCCUCUAGAGAGAUCGGGGUGCAACAUGGCUGCAAUCCAGGAUGAGUGGCAGGGGCUGAAAAUCCUGGUCAGCCACAAUUUCAAGGACAAGUCCUACAGUGGCCUGUGGGAGACCAUGUUGACAAAGAACCCCUGCAGGCACGAUUACAAAGGAAGACUACGAGUCCUGAGUGGUUAUGUAUGGUAUCCUGUGGUUGGUUUUGAUAAGUUAAUGGUAAGAGUUUAAAUGAAAUUGAAAGAUAUCGUCUUUUCCCUGGAACAUACUGGAGUUGGUGCAGCUUAUGCUGGCGCUGCCCAUUUCAGCCACCCGGUGUGAGCGAGGCUUCUGCGCAGAACCGGAUUAAGAAUUCGACAAGAAGCUGCCAUGGGGUCUCCACCAGCGAAGACCUGAUGAGGAUCAGCCUGGAGGGGCCUUCUGUCGAGGAGUUGUGGAUCCCACUCCUGCCGUGGACCGCUGGCUGACCUCUAAGCGUGCCAGACGGCUGACCUCUAAGCGUGCCAGAGGGCCGACAUACAAAAGCAGCUGGACAACUGAUAUCCUUUGCGUCUAGUAGGCAUGGGUCAAUGUGUGAUUUUGGUGGUAUGUGCUGUUCCACAAAUGUGUGUCCUUUGGUACACGCACACACACUCACACAUGCAGUAUAAAUAUGAAUGUAAUAAAUUGUUUGUUAAUAAACUCUGUGUUACAUUU